CCAAUGAGGGCCCAUCUGAGGAUGCGGACUUUUAUUUGAAUGUAAAAUAUGUAAGUGUGAAAGAAAUAAGGUAUAGGGAAUUCUUUUGUAACGUUAACUUGUGAGAAUUGGAAACUAUAAAAUACACUUAGAAACUCCAGAGAAUAUCAAAAUGUAUACGAAUGAAAAUUUGGGAAGAAAUAAGACUCAAAGCUUUAUAACAACAUUGUUAAUAACACAUCCCUACGAAAUGUGUUAUCGAAAGGUCCAAAAUAUCGUGAAAUGAAAACCAUUAUUUGGAUAUACAACUUUAAAAUUUUGAUGGAUUCAGGCGAGGAUUAUGCCAGGCAAUAGGCUAAGCGUGAGAAGGAAGACGUAGACACUCUUUCCGAGUGGAUUAAGGUAGUGAGGUCGUUGAUACAAAUCAGAAUUAAGAAACUGAAUGGGUCUAUCAAUGCCCAUGCUACGACAAUCUUUAAAGACCCUUAUAUUGCAUAACACUUAUCAUCUUAACUUCAUGACAAAUAUGUUGUUGUCCCCAAAGAUAAAAUCCCAAACAACAUCGUUUUUGUGUGUAAAACUCAUUACAUUAAGUGCUUGAUAAACAAAUUAGGUAUUGACAAUUCACUUGGAAACCGAACAUAUACCCUCACGACACUUACCAAAAAGAAAAUCCUGGAUAAUCAGAGGUCUGUUCUAUGUUCCUUUGGAAUUUCAAACAAAGAUGAUGAACUGGAUCUUCAAUCACUGUAUUGGAUACCUAAACUGCAUAAGUCUCCUUACAAACAACGGUAUAUUGCUGGGUCUUCCAAGUGCUCCACGAAACAUCUUUUUCAAUUAUUAACAUCUGUUUUAUCAGCAAUCAAAGGUGGCGAGACUCUGAUGUGGAUACUUAAAAAUUCCAAAGAUCUUUUAGAGUACAUACAAUCUAACUCUCUUUCAUCUUGUAAUAGUAUUAAAACAUUUGACUUUUUUACACUUUAUACAAGUAUUCCACAUUCCAAACUAAAAGACAAAUUGAAAGAGUUGGUAUUUGGCUUUGUUUCAUAAAAAAGAAUGGCCAACAAAGAUACAAGUAUCUUGUCUCAGGAAGGGAUAAAUCCUCCUUUGUAAAGGAUCACUCUGAUUCAAACAAAACAUUCUCUGAAACUGACUUUAUCAAAAUGCUUGAUUUCUUGAUUGACAACAUAUUUGUUACGUUCAACAGACUAUCGGUAUUCCAAUGGGAACGAAUUGUGCCCCUUUUCUUGCCGACAUGUUUCUUUAUUAUUAUGAGGCUGACUUCAUACAUGAACUUCUUAUGAAGAAAGAUAAGAAGUUAGCAAUAUCCUUUAACUCUACUUUGCACUAUAUAGAUGAUGUUCUUUCACUAAAUAAUUCACAAUUUGGUGACUAUGUCGAACGCAUCUAUCACAUUGAACUAGAGAUAAAGGAUACACCAGAUACAGUUAAGUCGGCCUCAUAUCUUGACUCACAUCUAGAAAUUGACAAUGAGGGUCGAUUGAAAACAAAACGUUACGACAAAAGAGAUGAUUUCAGCUUUCCAAUUGUGAACUUUCCAUUUCUAAGUAGCAACAUUCCAGCAGCACCUGCAUACGGUGUAUAUAUCUCCCAAUUGCUACGAUAUUCCCAUGCUUGCACUUCCUAUCAUGAUUUUCUUGAUAGAAGGUUGUUGCUAUUAAAUCAAGAGUUUCAAAUGGUGAAGUUGAAAUCAUCUCUCCGUAAAUUUUACAGACGCCAUCACAAGUUGGCUGACUCUUAUAUAUAACCACUUCACAAAUGAUAUCGGAUAUGUUCCUUACGUCGUAACUACAAUCCCCUUCCCUUUCAUGAAUGUGACCUACCGAACUAGACUAUUUACCGGAUUUGUUAUCUCAUAAGCAACACGACGGGUGCCACAUGUGGAGCAGGAUCUAUAAAAAAGAAGAUGUGGUAUUAAUGCCAAUGAGACAACCAUUCACAAAAGACCAAAAUGACACAGACAUUAACAACUAUAGGUCACCGUGCGGCCUUCAACAAUGAGCAAAGCCCAUACCGCAUAGUCAGCUAUAAAAGGACAAUAAGACAAUGUAAAACAAUUCAAACGAGAAAACUAACGGCCUUAUUUAUGUAAAAAAAUCAUGUCUGCUUACUCUUCCGGAGCACCUGAGAUCACCCUUAGUUUUUGGUGGGGUUCGUGUUGUUUAUUCUUUAGUUUUCUUUCUUGUGUCAUGUGUACUAUUGUUUGUCUGUUUGUCCUUUUCAUUUUUAGCCAUGGCGUUGUUCAGUUUAUUUUUCGAUUAUGAGUUUGACUGUACCUCUGGUAUCGUUUGUCCCUCUUUUAUAACAGGUCGAUACAUACAUAAUAGAACGAAAAACGACGAAUAAAUCAAAUCUACAUCAAACUUCUUAAAAUGAACAACACAAACAUCUUUAAAAAGCUGAUGGUGAUCGCCUGUGAAUUGGACCUUAUUGCUUCAGCUAACGUAUUAUUGAAUUGAAGUUUGUUUCUGAAACUAUUUGAGGAACAAAAUUAAAAAUCUAAAUUUUAAUAUGAAAACAAAAGUCCUACAUGAAAUAGCUUAUGUCGUAUGGGGUAAUCGAAUACGAUGAAAUAUGAAAAUGUAUAAUUUAAACUUAGUAUAAUGGUAUAUCAAAGAUUACUUUUACUCAAGGUGAAUAAGUGUUCAUGUAUACCAACGUUAAUGAACUUGUCAUAUUCCAUUUACAACUUAAACUAACAAGACUGACAGAUAAAACAAUUGAUAGAUGGAAAGAAUAGUUUUUCAGUUUAAACUGUACAUUUAUUUUGUUUUUAUUUUCAGACAUCAAGAAUUCCUUCAAUGAGAGAAAAAGAAUAGUAACAUACACCAAACAAAUUGUCAAACUAGUGCAUGUCUAAUGCAAUCAAUCUAAAACUAAAAUUUGAUGAAAUAUGAAAUAAUUACUGACUGUCGUAUGUUAGCUAUAUUAAACUAUCACAAAGACUAUUGUUUUACAGAAUGUUUUAAAAGAAUAAUUGGUAAACAUACACUGAAAUUAAUAAGUUCAUGGUCGUCAAUAAUGGGCCUUAAUAUAUUUGUUCGUGGAUGUUUUGUGUUGAAUGUUAUUCCUUCACAUUUAUCUUGUAUACUAUUUGUUAAUUUAAUCAGUAAAAAAAGUAGCAGAGAGAGGAACAUCAUCCGAGCUUGUUAAAAAGAAAUACUAUCUUCAAAAUAUCUUGGUAUAUUCUGAUUUCAGACAUAUGCGUAACAAGUAAUGACUGUAUGUACGAC
rnacentral:lncRNA from 1 species